rnacentral:rRNA from 1 species
CACGUAGGGCGCAAGCGUUGUCCGGAAUUAUUGGGCGUAAAGAGCUCGUAGGCGGUCUGUUGCGUCGGUUGUGAAAACCUGGGGCUCAACUCCAGGCCUGCAAUCGAUACGGGCAGACUAGAGUGUGGUAGGGGAGACUGGAAUUCCUGGUGUAGCGGUGAAAUGCGCAGAUAUCAGGAGGAACACCGAUGGCGAAGGCAGGUCUCUGGGCCACUACUGACGCUGAGAAGCGAAAGCAUGGGGAGCGAACAGG